rnacentral:rRNA from 1 species
GAUGAACGCUGGCGGCGUGCCUAAUACAUGCAAGUCGAGCGAACGGACGAGAAGCUUGCUUCUCUGAUGUUAGCGGCGGACGGGUGAGUAACACGUGGAUAACCUACCUAUAAGACUGGGAUAACUUCGGGAAACCGGAGCUAAUACCGGAGGAUAUUUGGAACCGAAUGGUUAAAAAGGGAAAGACGGUCUUGCGGUAACUUAUGGAUGAAUCCGCGCUGCAUUAGCUAGUUGGUAAGGUAACGGCUUACCAAGGCAACGAUGCAUAGCCGACCUGAGAGGGUGAUCGGCCACACUGGAACUGAGACACGGUCCAGACUCCUACGGGAGGCAGCAGUAGGGAAUCUUCCGCAAUGGGCGAAAGCCUGACGGAGCAACGCCGCGUGAGUGAUGAAGGUCUUCGGAUCGUAAAACUCUGUUAUUAGGGAAGAACAUAUGUGUAAGUAACUGUGCACAUCUUGACGGUACCUAAUCAGAAAGCCACGGCUAACUACGUG